CGCUGGCGGCGUGCCUAAUACAUGCAAGUCGAACGCACUCUCGUUUAGAUUGAAGGAGCUUGCUCCUGAUUGAUAAACAUUUGAGUGAGUGGCGGACGGGUGAGUAACACGUGGGUAACCUGCCCUAAAGUGGGGAUAACGUUUGGAAACAGAUGCUAAUACCGCAUAAAACCUAACACCGCAUGGUGUAGGGUUGAAAGAUGGUUUCGGCUAUCACUUUAGGAUGGACCCGCGGUGCAUUAGUUAGUUGGUGAGGUAAAGGCUCACCAAGACCGUGAUGCAUAGCCGACCUGAGAGGGUAAUCGGCCACACUGGGACUGAGACACGGCCCAGACUCCUACGGGAGGCAGCAGUAGGGAAUCUUCCACAAUGGACGAAAGUCUGAUGGAGCAACGCCGCGUGAGUGAAGAAGGUUUUCGGAUCGUAAAACUCUGUUGUUGGAGAAGAAUGUAUCUGAUAGUAACUGAUCAGGUAGUGACGGUAUCCAACCAGAAAGCCACGGCUAACUACGUG
rnacentral:rRNA from 1 species